rnacentral:rRNA from 1 species
ACGAACGCUGGCGGCGUGCUUAACACAUGCAAGUCGAACGGAAAGGCCCUGCUUGCAGGGUACUCGAGUGGCGAACGGGUGAGUAACACGUGGGUGAUCUGCCCUGCACUUCGGGAUAAGCCUGGGAAACUGGAUCUAAUACCGGAUAGGAGCCAUUUUUAGUGUGAUGGUUGGAAAGUUUUUUCGGUGUAGGAUGAGCUCGCGGCCUAUCAGCUUGUUGGUGGGGUAAUGGCCUACCAAGGCGGCGACGGGUAGCCGGCCUGAGAGGGUGGACGGCCACAUUGGGACUGAGAUACGGCCCAGACUCCUACGGGAGGCAGCAGUGGGGAAUAUUGCACAAUGGGCGCAAGCCUGAUGCAGCGACGCCGCGUGGGGGAUGACGGCCUUCGGGUUGUAAACUCCUUUCGCUAGGGACGAAGCUUUUUGUGACGGUACCUAGAUAAGAAGCACCGGCUAACUACGUG